rnacentral:rRNA from 1 species
ACCUUUACAAUGCACGAAAGUGUGAUAAGGGAAUCCUAAGUAUCGAUGCUUAGCAUCGAUUUUUGCCAAGGGCAAAUACCUUGGCGAAUAAGUGGUGGGCAAUACCUGUGCCAGCCGCCGCGGUAACCCAGGAGCCACAAGUGGCAACCACCUUUAUUGGGCCUAAAGCGUCCGUAGCCGGAUUUGUAAAUUUUCUGUGAAAUCGUUGCGCUCAACGUAACGGCGUGCAGGAAACACUGCAAGUCUAGGGACCGGGAGGAGUCAGAGGUAUUUCUAGGGGAGCGGUAAAAUGCUAUAAUCCUAGAAGGACCACCUGUGGCGAAGGCGUCUGACUAGAACGGAUCCGACGGUGAGGGACGAAAGCUAGGGGAGCAAUCCGGAUUAGAUACCCGAGUAGUCCUAGCUGUAAACUCUGCGAGCUAGGUGUUGCGCAAUCUUUGGGAUUGCGUGGUGUCGUAGCGAAGGCGCUAAGCUCGCCGCCUGGGGAGUACGGUCGCAAGGCUGAAACUUAA